UCGAGUAUGGUGUAACGGCUAACAUUACCGCCUUUCAUACUGAAUGCACGCGGUAGCUCGGGGUUCGAUUCCCCGUACUCGAA
rnacentral:tRNA from 1 species